rnacentral:rRNA from 1 species
UACAGAGGGUGCGAGCGUUAAUCGGAAUUACUGGGCGUAAAGGGCGCGUAGGUGGUUAGUUAAGAUUGAUGUGAAAUCCCUGGGCUUAACCUAGGAAUGGCAUCGAUGACUGGCUAGCUGGAGUACUGUAGAGGGUAGUGGAAUUUCCGGUGUAGCGGUGAAAUGCGUAGAGAUCGGAAGGAACACCAGUGGCGAAGGCGACUAUCUGGACAGAUACUGACACUGAGGCGCGAGAGCGUGGGGAGCAAACAGG